AAGAUUAUUAAUAAAAGUACACUUAUUAAAAAAAAAUGAAAGAAAGAGAGGAGCUCGAUGAGGAGGAAGACGAGAGAGGCUCUAAAUUCUUCAACAAGAAGAGAAGUUUCUUUUAUGAAGUUGAAAGCAUUGCUCAAAAUGUAAUUGAGAGCUUGUGAAUAUGGUAUUUUGUAUAGGAUGUUGAAGGAUUAAGUGUGUAAUUGGUGGAUUUUGGGCUCUAGAUGGCUAUUGUUAAACUCCAUGGAUAUGUUAGUGUACUGCUUUUAAAUUUUUCAUGAAUAAUUUCCAGCAAUUUAUAGAUUUGUUGUAUUGUAGCUAUUAAGUAAUUCGUUUCUUUGGUAAAAUAUGUAGUUUCAUCUCUAAGUUCUUUUGAUUCCUAUUCAAUUAGGUAUAAUUGUAUCUUUGUGGAAUUUGACAACUUUUUUGUGUG
rnacentral:lncRNA from 1 species